UACGGGGGGAGCAAGCGUUGUUCGGAUUUACUGGGCGUAAAGGGCGCGUAGGCGGCCACUGCAAGUCGGUUGUGAAAUCUCCGGGCUUAACCCGGAAAGGUCAAUCGAUACUGCAGGGCUAGGGUGCAGAAGGGGCAACUGGAAUUCUCGGUGUAGCGGUGAAAUGCGUAGAUAUCGAGAGGAACACCUGCGGCGAAGGCGGGUUGCUGGGCUGACACUGACGCUGAAGCGCGAAAGCUAGGGGAGCGAACGGG
rnacentral:rRNA from 1 species